CGCCUCUUGCAAACUAGAAAUAUAAGAGGUCCCGCCUGCCCUGUGACUAUAAGUUUAACGGCCGCGGUAUUUUGACCGUGCGAAGGUAGCGCAAUCACUUGUCUUUUAAAUGGAGACCCGUAUGAAUGGCAUAACGAGGGCUUAACUGUCUCCUCCUCCGAGUCAAUGAAAUUGAUCUCCCCGUGCAGAAGCGGGGUUUCACCCAUAAGACGAGAAGACCCUAUGGAGCUUUAGACACCAAAGCAGCCCACACACUCCCCUCUCAAUAAAAGAGAAUAAAACAAAUGGUCCCUGCCCUAAUGUCUUCGGUUGGGGCGACCGCGGGGAAAGAACCAACCCCCGCAUGGAACGGGUAAACCACUACCUAAAACUAAGAGCAACAGCUCUAAAUAUCAGAACUUCUGACCUAUGGAUCCGGCAACGCCGAUUAAUGAACCAAGUUACCCUAGGGAUAACAGCGCAAUCCUCUUUUAGAGCCCAUAUCGACAAGGGGGUUUACGACCUCGAUGUUGGAUCAGGACAUCCUAAUGGUGCAGCCGCUAUUAAGGGUUCGUUUGUUCAACGAUUAAAGUCCU
rnacentral:rRNA from 1 species